AGCUGAGGUGUGAGCAGCUGCCGAAGUCAGUUCCUUGUGGAGCCGGAGCUGGGCGCGGAUUCGCCGAGGCACCGAGGCACUCAGAGGAGGUGAGAGAGCGGCGGCAGACAACAGGGGACCCCGGGCCGGCGGCCCAGAGCCGAGCCAAGCGUGCCCGCGUGUGUCCCUGCGUGUCCGCGAGGAUGCGUGUUCGCGGGUGUGUGCUGCGUUCACAGGUGUUUCUGCGGCAGAUUUCUACCACUCCAAACGCCGGCUGAUCUUCUCCAAGAGGAAGCCCUAAUCCGCCCACAGGAAGCCUGCAGUCCUGGAAGCGCGAGGGCCUCAAAGGCCCGCUCUACAUCUUCUGCCUUAGUCUCAGUUUGUGUGUCUUAAUUAUUAUUUGUGUUUUAAUUUAAACACCUCCUCAUGUACAUACCCUGGCCGCCCCCUGCCCCCCAGCCUCUGGCAUUAGAAUUAUUUAAACAAAAACUAGGCGGUUGAAUGAGAGGUUCCUAAGAGUGCUGGGCAUUUUUAUUUUAUGAAAUACUAUUUAAAGCCUCCUCAUCCCGUGUUCUCCUUUUCCUCUCUCCCGGAGGUUGGGUGGGCCGGCUUCAUGCCAGCUACUUCCUCCUCCCCACUUGUCCGCUGGGUGGUACCCUCUGGAGGGGUGUGGCUCCUUCCCAUCGCUGUCACAGGCGGUUAUGAAAUUCACCCCCUUUCCUGGACACUCAGACCUGAAUUCUUUUUCAUUUGAGAAGUAAACAGAUGGCACUUUGAAGGGGCCUCACCGAGUGGGGGCAUCAUCAAAAACUUUGGAGUCCCCUCACCUCCUCUAAGGUUGGGCAGGGUGACCCUGAAGUGAGCACAGCCUAGGGCUGAGCUGGGGACCUGGUACCCUCCUGGCUCUUGAUACCCCCCUCUGUCUUGUGAAGGCAGGGGGAAGGUGGGGUCCUGGAGCAGACCACCCCGCCUGCCCUCAUGGCCCCUCUGACCUGCACUGGGGAGCCCGUCUCAGUGUUGAGCCUUUUCCCUCUUUGGCUCCCCUGUACCUUUUGAGGAGCCCCAGCUACCCUUUUUCUCCAGCUGGGCUCUGCAAUUCCCCUCUGCUGCUGUCCCUCCCCCUUGUCCUUUCCCUUCAGUACCCUCUCAGCUCCAGGUGGCUCUGAGGUGCCUGUCCCACCCCCACCCCCAGCUCAAUGGACUGGAAGGGGAAGGGACACACAAGAAGAAGGGCACCCUAGUUCUACCUCAGGCAGCUCAAGCAGCGACCGCCCCCUCCUCUAGCUGUGGGGGUGAGGGUCCCAUGUGGUGGCACAGGCCCCCUUGAGUGGGGUUAUCUCUGUGUUAGGGGUAUAUGAUGGGGGAGUAGAUCUUUCUAGGAGGGAGACACUGGCCCCUCAAAUCGUCCAGCGACCUUCCUCAUCCACCCCAUCCCUCCCCAGUUCAUUGCACUUUGAUUAGCAGCGGAACAAGGAGUCAGACAUUUUAAGAUGGUGGCAGUAGAGGCUAUGGACAGGGCAUGCCACGUGGGCUCAUAUGGGGCUGGGAGUAGUUGUCUUUCCUGGCACUAACGUUGAGCCCCUGGAGGCACUGAAGUGCUUAGUGUACUUGGAGUAUUGGGGUCUGACCCCAAACACCUUCCAGCUCCUGUAACAUACUGGCCUGGACUGUUUUCUCUCGGCUCCCCAUGUGUCCUGGUUCCCGUUUCUCCACCUAGACUGUAAACCUCUCGAGGGCAGGGACCACACCCUGUACUGUUCUGUGUCUUUCACAGCUCCUCCCACAAUGCUGAAUAUACAGCAGGUGCUCAAUAAAUGAUUCUUAGUGACUUU
rnacentral:lncRNA from 1 species